CGGCUUUUCAUCUUCCGUGGUGUUUCCAGAGCCCUGGCAUCUCCGCUGGGCUGCGGCCUUCACCCGAGGCGCUCCCAGGACUUCUGCCGCAGCCAGCACAUCCCCCAGCAAGGCUGGGCCCAGCACCCCCUCAUAGGCAAAGGGAGAAAACUGGAGAGGGAAGGUUUCCUGGGACCAGGAGUCUGGGGCCAGGCUCUUCCAGAGGAAAGGAAAGGAAACCAGACUCCUCCGGGGAGGAAGGCCAGGAGGGGGUUCUUCGGGCAGGCACAGGGAGUCCGAGGCCGUCCUUCUGAACGGGAGAGGAGACACACUCCAGGGACAUGGGAUCCAACACUGUUUUCAGAAGAAUCUGAGGGAAUUUAACCUGGCCCAUGGGAUGAGGACCAGCCUGUGGCCUCUGCACUAGACCAGAAUCCUGCACUAGAUGGGCUGGGAGCACACGACAUUUCAGACUACUCACACAGCUCUCCUGAAGUAAGAACAAUGGAGCCAGCAUCUUGAGCCCACACCAGAAAGUAGAGGAACUACAAGUCAGAGAUAUACCACUUGCAACCUCUGCCUACCACCCACCUAUAAGGACAAGGACAUUGGACCUUGCUAUGAGUUCUGUGCCAAUUCCACGGACCCAGGACAGCUCCAUUGUAGCCAACCAUUUCUGGAGGGUCUGCAUGGCUCCACCAUGGUGAGACCCAUGCUAACUCCCAAAGGUAAGAUACUGUAUCUGCUGUCUGUGCCACUCUGUAUCCCCCACUAAAGCCCUGGCACUGCCCUCCCCUGAUAAGACCUCCAAGUCAGGAGCCAUCCUCCCGGUUGCAGAUAUGCUGGCUAGAGAGGGCUCUUGGCAUUUCUGUCAGUCUGUGCUGUCUCAGCCAGGGUAUAGCUUGACUUCCACCUGUGCAGAGGACUGUGCCAAGCCACAUGCCUGAGAAGAUGAUCCAGAGAAUUCUUGGGCCAGAGCAGUCAAGGCCCCAGUGUGCUUCAGCACGUCAUGGGAGUCAUAGUAACAGUUUAGAGCUCAGGGUUCCCAAAGUUUGGGGCUCUCAAUGGGUGAGAAGAAUUUUAUUCCAGCAAUCCUGGAGGGUCUGAGGAAGGUAGGAGGCUGGGGGACGUGUGGUGUGUGUGCUGGAGACCCCUCCUCCCUCAUCACUGCUCCACAGAUCUGCUGUAUGCUGCACAUUUGGAGCAUCAUCCUCUACCUGUGGCUGUCUUGGUUUACUCCUCAGUCAGGUAUAGGUAUGAGUUCAGAGCUCUCCCUGGCAGCAGCAAAGGAUUCAGGGGACAUGGCCUGAAUAAAUUAAUUCCCAUCCCCACUCCAGUGCUCACAUGGCUCAUUAUCCUGCUCUCGGCCUCAGUCACCACUAGCACUGCCUUGUCCAUCUCAGACAUCUCCACCAAUGGCACAGUUUAUUCUGGUCUGCUAACCAUAUUAUUUCUCGGAUUGUGCAGUCCUGUCAGGAUUUGUGAGAUCACAGACUAGCUCAUCCUUCCUCUCCUGUCAGAUAGCCAAUACUUUCUGAACUCACAGUGCCUGGGUCCACAGCUUGGCAGUUUCAUGGGGAUCAUUAUUGCCUUUGCCAACAUCAAGCUGUGGCUAUGUACACAGUGGGCUUUGCAGAGACCCUCUUGGAUUGGCUCCGGGUAGGUAGUGCCUAUCCUUUCUUUUUGUGCUCUUCUCUCAAGUUUGCUGACCUUGGAAGGUCUAACCUGCACUGUGGCUCCAGCAUGGGCAAAUCAUUUCAAAAAUCACAUGGAGGCAUUGAAUCAGCCAAGGACUCCGUAAUGUCUGUGUUUUGCCCUUCUAGGAACAUGGGGUGCAGCUGCUGAACGUGGAUCCAGAAGAUAUGUGGGUGGUGGGCAUGGUGACAGUGAUUAUCUUUCUGGGUGAGGCACUGGCCAGCAUACAGUGGGAAUCUUUUUUUUUUUUUUUUUGUACCUGGGAUCGAACUCGGGACUGUGCACUUGUGAGGCAGGCAGCGGAACCACUGAGCUAAAUCCCCGGCCCUUCAGUGGGAAUCUAAGGCAGUUGCCAGAAAACUGAAGUGGAUGAGACAAAGAGGACAUGGAGUAGUUAACCCUUCCCUCCCGCUCACGUUUCUCCCACCUCUCUUUUUGUCACCCAUGGUAUUUCAGACCCAAAUUAUCCUCUUCUUGAUCCUCCCUUGUCAACUACCUGCUGGGCACACUCAUCCCUACAAACCCCAGUCAACAAGCCAUUGGCUUCUUUGGUAUCAAGGAACUGGGCUGGAAAAUAUAUUAAAGGGAAUAAAUGUUUCAGAAUAUCACUCAUACCCUUUGCAAGAGGGGCCUCAUUAGCCCAGGAAAAUGUCUCAAAAAAGAGUCCUUGAUUUCCAAGUCUGCUUCUCACUUGCGAGUUGCCCAUCAGACCAGUCAGAGUAAUGUAAGUCUUCUGAGUUGGCUAGUUUCCCUCUUCUUUCCAGCCUAACCUAAGUCACUGGCACUAAGCUGGGUAGUGGGUAAUACGGAUCCUGGCUGAGUGAAGAGAAGACAGGAAUAGCCCCUCUUUAUUCUUUCACACAGGAAGUGUUUUCUUGGCAAACAUGGUCCCACAGGGGUGUGGUUCAGAGGGCAGUUUCUUCAGUAUGUUUUUCCAUAUUAUUCCCCUCAGCCACUGGAGUCCUGGCUAGACCCAGUAUUUCUGGAGACUUCAAGGUGAGAAGGCUGUUCAGCCAGGGGCACACCCUUUGCUGCCCCUCUCUUCUGUCCACCAAUGGUCCAGUGUUUGUUCCCAAGACCCUGCUACCGCUGUCUCCAAGGGGACCCUCCUUGCCAUUAUGUGGACUGUACUCCCCUAUCUGGGCAUCGCCGUGACCACUGAGAAGGCCUUCUACUCUGGCCUUCUGUGCAGAAUGACCUGGAGCCCCAGUUUUUGCUCCCUAAAAGACAGGGUAUAGAUGAUACAAUCAGCAAGAAGCAUUCAUCAGCCACAAUAAAGUUAAGUGUACGGGCAGGUAACCUCCAGCCCCCCUCCCUCCAACCUUCAUUUCUUCCCACCACUCACAUUGUUAAUGAACCGUAUAAUGGUUUUUGGUUAACAUAUUCCCUUCCCACCCUCCUAUGCAUGUACACGUCCGUUGCCCCUCUUGAUGCUGGUGGUACCUACACAGCCCUACUGUUUGGGAUGGAGUUUUCUCCCCAUGAAGGAAUGCCUAACUUUAGUCUUAUUUCCAAGCUCCUGUAUGAUUGAGAGGCUUCCUGGAAAUAGCACUGACAGGGCUGUGUGGAAUGAUAGCAGCCUUGGGCCAGAGUGCCUCUUCGGCUGGGAUUUUAGCAGCUGUCAGGACCAAACGUCCUGACUCUAUGGGCUCGCCAGUCACUACCUGGUAAGUGAACAAGCGGGGAUAAUUACAUAAACUUUCUUAUUCUCAGGCAUAGAGGAGAUGCUCAAAAGCCACUAAUGUUUUAAGUGGAUUCAUGUGAGGGGGACAAAACCUUUAAAAAUGUGGAUAAAAUUUAAUCUGCCUUGUAAUUUAUGGGAAAACCAGGUGAAGUGAGCGGAAUACACUGCUUCAGGAAUGUGUGGAUUCUGGCUCCUCUGGCCUGCUCAGGCCGUGAGCGUGGUGUCUGCCUUCAGUCCCCCGGAAUCAUCAGUGUCAUCCUGUCCUCUGCCUUUUCCUGUCCUUGCUUUCCCACAUUCCCAGGGCCUUCUCACACCCUACUCCUUCUAUCCUUUCUUAUUAAGACCUGUAGGAUCCUUCAACUUCUCCCUCUAAUUCCCACUCUCCCAGAGGAAUAAGGGCUCUCUCUUUCUCCCUCUCUCUGGGAGACCCACCAUGUGUUUUCAUGGUGGCUAUUCCAGAAUAAACUGCACCAUCAUGGCAAGAACUAGAAGCCUGUGCAGGAUUAGCUGCUUGCCUUCCUCAUUGCUGUGGGUUUCAUCCUUAUUGUUGAGUAUGCCCUACCUCACUUUCCAACUAGGCACUGCUCAUCACUUUUCCUGUUACACCUCCCACAGCCCUGACUCUGGCUUUGAGGGCCUCAUGCUGACCCCUCAUUUCUCUCUCUCUAGUCCUCAACUCGGUGAAACUGUCUCAUACUUGGUAGGAGAUGAAAAAGUCGAACGUGGUGGUGAGUGGUGGUACAUACAUGUGAGGUGGAGUGAAGAGCAAGGAGUGAAGAAUGAGAGGACAGGGAAAGGGAAGCCAGAUGGCAUACUUGCCUCUCCAGACCUGGAUCCCAUGACUCUAGUUUGGAGACCAACCCUCUGACAUCUCAUUUUUUCCAAAGCUGAGCUGAAUAUCAUUGCCCCCAUCUUCUCCAAAUUUUUCUUCUGUUCCUAUGCCCUCAUGAACUUCAGCUACUUCCAUGCCUCCCGUACCUAGUUGCCUGGUUGGUCUGGGCAGGUACUGGGGUCCAGGGAUUCAAAGACUUGGGGGGUUGGGAGAGAAUCCCUGGGGAAUAAUAAGUGGUACUGUGGCCGAGACAAGGGAUGGCCGGCACUUUCACUCUCCUACAGGCUGGCAACCUUCCUUCUUCUGGUACAGACCCUCGCUUUCCUUCCUGGGCACUCUGCUCUGCCUGCUCAUGAUGUUCCUCCUCAUUUGAUGGACGGCACUCAUUGCUAUGUUGCUUAUCCUUCUGCCGUUGCUCUGGAUGUUCUACAAGAAAGCAGAUGUGAACUGGGGCUCUUCAGUCCAGGUGAGCACCUAUCGCCUGGCUUGGUUGAGCUCCAUGAGCCUGACCAAUGUGCAGGACCACUUUUAGAACUUCAGGAACCCCAACCCAUUCAGGAGCCUGAGAAUCAUGUCAAGUGUCUGAACGUCUGGAAGAUUCACUCCUCCUAGAGUCGUAUCUUCCCUAGGCUUUGUUCUGGGGCCCAGAGCCUCAUGCAGGUCAGCCUGCCAAAUUCAAUCACUUCUUAUCCUUCCCUGUCCAACAUACUAUAUCCCCUUCUUUCUUCAUUGCAUUUCCAUUCAGGUCUCAGGCCAACUGAAGUCCAAUUUGCUGGCCUUGGGAUAUAAGCAAAAUUGGCAGGAGGCUGUAUUUCCCAUGGAGGAUUAUGUAGGCAUUAUAUAGUAAGUGUGGGAUGGUGAAGGGGAAGAUGAGCAUAGAAAUGAUCAGGAACUAGAAAUGGGAAUGACAAAUCCCAUUCUGCUGCCCGGCGUUGCCCAUGUCCCCAGGAAGGGAAUACCCCUCUUCAGCUCUUCCUCCUAUUUUUUUUCCUCCUAUUUUUUUAAACCUCCCCCUCCUCCUCCCAUAAAGUGAUGCAACUAUGGGGUCUGCCUCGUAAGGAUGCCAGGAGGGUUAAGUGUGACUAUCCAACAUCAUCCUCAAGGUGAAUCAGAAGAGGUGAGCCUAAGGGAAAGAGAGGGUGUGGGAGGUAUAGAAAUUCACCAUUAAAGUCUGGGAGUCAAGUGAACCAUCUACAGUUAACAAGACCUGAGACAGAAUAGAAUUGGGGACCAGAUGUAAGAAAAAUGAAUUUUGCUUUGAAGAUUCUACCUAGAGGUUUAGUUUUCCUGAAACUGUAGGGGAUGGAGAGGGCUUUAAAGAUGUCAUGUAAGUUCACAGGGAAGAAAUGUGAAUCAAGAGCUACAAGUAGCAGGAUGCACUAGUGUGAUCCAGAGGGGAUAUGGUCUAAUUCUCCAGCAGAGUUUCUGGGACUAUCCCAACUCUAAUAGUAUACAUCUUCCUAGCUUAAUUUUGGCACGUCCUCACUGAAUGGGAGGGUCCAACAAAAGGUACAAAAAGAUAAUUCUUUUUUGUUAUAACUCCAUCUUUUCCAGUAAAUCCAUGGUGUUUGGAUGCCAAAGUAAUGAACACUCAGUAGAGGGAGGAGACAGAGUCUCCUUUAUAGGAAAUAAAGUUGGAGAGUGAAGAGAAGAAGCAGGCACCCAGGAAAGUAAAUAGAAAAGGGAAUGCAGUUAGUCAAUGGGGAGAGACACCAUGACAUUUCUCUGGAAUAGCAACAGUUCUGUCAGGGGAGGGGAAGGUAAGGUACUGGGUUCAAGCAGUUGAUCAGCUGGAUAAGGAAUCUGUCUCAGGCUUCUCCUUUCUUUGGGCAGCUUCCCUAUACCAGAAGCUUCAAACUAUAUCCCAGCGCGAGCAGGACAUGUCCUGCAGACAGUGGACAUGUACUGGCUCAGUAAUGAUGAAGGCAGGGACUCUAUGACUCCAUAAGAAGUUCCAUUUCUCUCCAAGUUCCAGGAGAGAACAGGAAGAGGAAAUUAGUGAUUAAGGGGAAAACAAACUCUGCAUUUACAAAACACCCAGUGUUCCCUCUCACUUCAGAAGCCUUCAUGCUUUUCUUUCUCAGCCUCAUGAAAAGGUGGGAAGGAAGGCUGCCCACCUCUUUUUUUCUUUUGAGACAGGAUCUCAGUAUGUAAUCCAAGCUGGCUUUGAACUAUGUAGCUCAAGCUGGCCUUGAACCCAUAGGGAGCCUCCUGUCUCAGUCUCCCAAGUGUGAGGAUUACACUUGGGAGAAUGCCUGCUGCAUCUCUUUUCUUAUCUUCACAGGGCUUAUACCGAUACCCUAUGUACUUGCAUGAAGGAAAAAACAGACUUGAUGUCCUUUAAGACUUUUUGUGAGCAGCCUCCAUGAGCAGCUGGAGGAAAAAUGCAGUGAUUGGAUCACAGAACCCCAAAGUUAUGGCCAGGGGCCUACAAUGCAGAAGACAGUAAGGGGAGGGAAGUUUAUUAAGACACUUCCUGUAGAUGGAAGGAUAAAAAUAAACCAGUAAAUAGGCAGAAUAUCUAGUUUCUGGGUUAGGAAUGUACAGGCCCUGGGUUUGAUCUCUAGCAUCACUGAAAAAUACAGCUCCUGUCUUGUCUUUCCCUAGGAUAUGUUCCCUCCUCAGAAGGCUCAGGCUUGGCUUCCAACAUGUGACAGUACUGCCUGAUCUCACAGGCAAACCUUGAAAGAAGAGGUCAGAUCUAAGUCCCCUGCCUUAUACAUUUCUCUUUCUGUCUUCUGGCUUCAUAGUUAAGAACAUAAAGAAACAAGUGUCAGAUAAGUUAUAACUUAACUGUGUAUGUGGAAAGCAAUGGUGAUACUGGAAAGAGGAGGUGAAAUGUGAUGAAAGAUGACUGCUGUAGGAAUAUAGCUGUGGAGAAACAGUAGCUUUAGUUUCUGUCUGGAUCUCAAUGGGCUUAUGAUCACCAGUUUGGAAGAAAUGUAAGAUUAGGCAGCAAAAUAGAGAAAAACUGAAGAGUAAAGAAGCCCUAUUUCUCAAUUCCUGAAGACCAAAAUUUUACAUGAUGGAUAUUUUCUCCUUCCUGCUCAAUCAGAGAUUUUGGUUCUCUGCAGUCAAAAGGCUUUUGAAAACUUGGUGGCUUUAUAUCAGUUCCAAUAGCCACCAUCAAAGGGGGAUCUGGAAUCUACCUGCCUCUUCAGUACUCCUUCACCUUCAGGCUACUUCCUGGAGCAGAACUUGCAGGCAAACCAAAAGAAGGUGUGUAGAACAGUGCCAAGUGGGGCAGCUCUCCCCGAGAGGCACCUGAUAAUGGCACCUCACCCUGUCUCUGCCUAUUCAUUCUAACCAUGUAAUCAGAGUGGCACAUGUGUCUUCAUGAAGUACUAUGGCAAUAUUCCUGGGAUGCCACCCUCAUAGUCAUGUGAGUCUCAGGAAAUUUCAAAAUACAGGGGCAUAGAUUCCAGGGAUAGGGAUCUUCCCAUGACUAGGUAAGCUGAGGAACAGACUCUGUCUCAUAAUGCCUUUCCUACCUGAAGCUUAUCUGUGAUCCCUUUGACAACCUGUCCCGGGGCCCUGUACCUGACCUGGCUAGAGAUGCUGUCCAGGGACCAGACAUCCCCCAUUGCCUUCAUUUGUAGAAAUCAAGAGGAUGCCCUUACUCUAUCCUGCCCUGUCAGAGCUGUAGGAGAGGAGACUGAGCCAGGGCUCAAGGAGUUUUGAUUUUACUUUUUAUUUCUUUCCUUCUUUCCUUUUUUGUGGUGCUGGGGCAAGAACCCAAGGCCUCACAUGUGUCAGGCAACUAACUGCUUUACCACUAAACUACAUACUAGCCUGACUUUUGUUUCUUAGUUUCACAAACUUAGAAGUCAUCCUUGAGAAUUCUCAGGCAAGAGCUCAAGGCUUCCCAAGGAAAGAACUCCUCUACUAAGCAACGUGAACUGAGGCUACAGUGCUGAAGGUCCUUCUUCCAAGAUCCAUUCCACCUCAUAAUAUUAAUAAAUCAAUACCUCAGGAUGUAUAGUAAUACAGCUGCCGUCCAUUUACCAAAUUAACUCUCUAAGCUUAGACAGAGAUCACUCUUAUUCCCAAACAUAUUCAAAGGGAGGAUUUUAACCUCUACUUGCAACCCUCUCCAUCUCCCACCUUAGUCUCUAAAUUUAAGUCUCCAUUUCUCAGUGCAUUUUUAACCAAUUUAUGUGUCUAUCCCUCGUAAAUAAAAAAGUAUACACAGCCACUUUCUAUUUAGUAAAACAUGAGAAAUUAACUCUUUCCCGAAACUCACACGAUCCCUCCUUUUUAUCUUUUGGUUCAAGUCUUACUUUACAAUCCUCUGAUCCUAUCUUUGAUUUACUUUCCUAUCAACUUAUUCAUUUGUUCACAAACUGAAUGCCCAGUAGAUGUCACUCUCUUGAGUACUGGAUGAUAGAGCAAUGCAUGAAACACGAUAAAAAUGCCCUGUUCCCAAUGGUGUUUAUAGUCUAAUAUAAAUAGAACAAUUACAAGUAGGAAGAAAAGUAAAACAGGAAGAGGGUUUGGAAGUGCUAGAGAAGUGAGAAUUUAAGCAGGGUUGUCAGGAAGUUUUCACUAAAAGAAGCUGAGCAGGGUUAAAAGAAUAUAAAGGAGUGAACUUCACCUGGGGAAGAGCAAAGGAGGAGGAGCAAAAAUAAAGGCCUUGAGGGUCAGCAUAUCUGCAGUCCUUAAGCCCUUUCCCCUCCCCCAUGCCCAUUAGGAACUGGGUUUCAAAGCAGGUCGUGAGCAGUGUUGCGGGGUGUGUGUGUGAAGACUCAUCUGUGCUUCAGCGGCUCCCCAUCGCUUGCAUUACUGUCUGAACUCUGCUUGUAGUCAGAUCAGCAGUGGCACUAGACUGUCGUGGAAGCAAGAACCCCACUAUGAACUUUGUACUCAAGGAUCUAGGUCGCACACUCCUUAUGAGAAUCUAAUGCUUGUUGCUCUGAGGUGGAGCUGAGGUAGGGAUGUGAGCGCCAGGGUGUGGCUGCAAAUACAGAUUAACAUUAGCAGACUGCACAGAGACUGGAAAAAAUCAAUUGCUUACAGACUUGUAUCAGGACCCUACCAGUGAGUGGCAGGUGACAAUUAAGCUGCAUCUGGUGGCAGGCUUUAUAUCAGAAUCUUAGACUUUAGUCUGCUUGUGGCCUGCCCAUUAUUUUAUUUAGCACUUCUUUCACUUCUUUCCUGUACUGUGCAUUUGUCUCAGUCAGUUUUGGUUAAGCCCAUAAGCUAACCUUAGCCAAAACAGGUAAAAACAAGUGUCAUCAGAGUUUCUUUCAAAAGAGGGAAAGAGCCUCGGAACCAUGCCACUUUCCUGUUCUGUGAAAAAAAUUGUCUUCCAUGAAACUGGUCACUGGCACCAAAAAGGUUGGGAACCACUCCCCUAAGGAAUAACCAAAAGGUCAAUGUUGCUGAGAAGAAAGAAACGGAAGUAGCAGGAGAUAAGACCAAAGUGGAUGUGGGGAAGGGCAAGGCAUAUCAAGCUUUUUUUUUGUUUUUGAGACAGUCUCACUAUACAGUUCAGGCUGGCCUUGA